UGUGUGCACAUCGGGCUUGAGGUCAUCUGCACUCUCCUUGUCGUGGUAGGCCUGAUAGACCCAAAAUAGGCUUAUACAUGGAGGUGCUUUGAAUGAGACCAUCAGAGCCUCUGCUCUCCUUCUUACAGCAGAAGCAAGCCAUAGGAGUGGAAAAAUCGUGUUCAGCUGAAGUUUCUCAUUCUUUUCUUAUCAGCUCCAAGAUGCUGGGGCCUUUGGACCCCUCGGUACAAGAAGACCAUUGAAGUGAUGGAGUGCAUCCAGAGAAGGACAACAAAGCUGGUGAAGAGAGCACAAACCUUGCUACGAGUUCAGCAGGAGUCCCUUUGCGGAUGGCUUUGCCCACAGCCAUGGCACAAUCCCGUGUGGGGGCCAGGCUCAGUUUUCCAUGCGCCAGCAGAACUGUGGGAACACACCUGGGCUGCUCGCAGGUUGACAUCUCCCUCCUUCAGCAGCUUCAUCACCACCUCCAUGUCCUCAGCUGUCUCAGCAACUGCCAGCGGGCCAGCUGAGUCCUGUUCCAAGCUAUGAUGUGACAUUUGCUGCUACAAGAAGCUGGUGGAGCCGUGCCAUCCCACCUGGACUGUGGCUGUGAGAGACACCCCUCAACCAGAGGGGAUCCUGAGCCAUCCCCAACAUCAGACUGCAAAGAUCUCAGGGCAAUGUAAGCACCCACCUGCUCCCCCCCUCCACUCCAGCCAGCAGAAAGGAGAGAACCAUCACACCCCAGCAGAUCUAGAGAACAAUUCACUCAACCACAAAGACAACGUGUAUGGAUUUCAUUCUCCCAGAGGCUCUCACUAGUCACUUGAAGUUGGAAACGUUUAACCCCGUGCCUGUAAAUAAGGUGGCAAUCCCCCCUCGCCAAGCCGCACGUUAGCACAGUCUCGUUAGCUGUACCACAACGGCUUUUUGAGCUCUGCCUGUCAUGUUCUCCUGCACUGCAGCAACGGCUUUAGCAUUUCACGCUGGAAGGAAGAAACUCUGGCUAGACAAGCACCUCGUCGUGUUACCUUCUCGCACUCCCACCUGCAAGCCCACCAGGAAGCAGCAGCGCUUCCCUCCCUCAAAAGCAUCUUCUCCCGUGCCAAGAGCUGGCAGCGAAGGGUUUGGGAGCAGCAAACCUGCCUCUUCCAGUUGCUAAAAAAGUUGGUCAGCUGCGCAGUGACCUUGCUCAGAAAGCAAGCACAAGUUUCCAACAAGAAGCACAAAAGAGGGAUUAAUUUUCCAAUAAAGCAGCCCAUCGAUUUCCCACGACCUUUCCGGGGACAGUUCAAGCCCGCCGUACACAGCGAGUGGCUCCUCGCAGCGUACUUAUCUCUUCCAUACAACGCAACCCUCCCCCCACCCCGAGCUGGGCUGUCAGCGGGCUGCCUGCUUUAUCGGGAGAGCUAUUGACGAGACAGUCAAUUAUUAACGAUGGGCUUCUGACUGUACCUGGUGCUGCAGGCUGCGGCCGCAGCUCGCCCUCCGCAUGCUGCACCCUCCCGGGCUGAAGGCAUUCAUUAGUUAUGCAGCUGCGCGCCUCGCCCAAGGAAGCGCCAGCGCCCGCCGCGAUUAGGAGCCAGCGUCUUGAGAAGCUGCAGAAGGGCUCAGCGUCCCCGAUUCAUCCUGUUGAAGCCUCGCUCCCGUCAGUGGGACGGAAACCACGGCCCCUCACGUCGCGCCCAGCCAGCCGCCGUCCCCAGGAGAUGCUGAACAGGACAGGCUGAUGGCAGGAGCGCGGCCGUGCGGAACCGCAGCACGGCGGGAGGAUGCUCGGCGCUCCGUGCUGCUGUGAGCGGGGACAGGCAGCCCCCGCCCCAGACUCCCGCGGGUGCCAGUGGGAGACUCUAAAUAAAACGUCCCAGCCCUCUGCAGCAAGGUUAUCAAUGCAAACUUCAAAUGGAGGGCAGGGGUCAGCUGGCAGAGCAGCCGUGGCGCGGUUCUGUGCGCCGCGAUGGGCAGAGCGCCCAUGCCAAGCCCCUGGGCUGGGGUUCCCAUCGGGCAUCCCGCAGUGCUGCACGCCCAGGCUGACGACAGGGAAAAGAAUACUCUCAGCGUCUGCACUGAACUUGCAACAACUUCAGGCUUGCAAAGGCAGAGGGGAUCAAACACUGACCUGUGAACUUGCUCCAGGGCUGGCAAAGAAAAUCCUGGAAAGUGGAGGCUUGCCACUGGAACCUGGUUCUGCCAGGGGCUUUCACCAAGGACUCACAUCACAGAGCAGCACCAGCACCUUUCCCAUCGCUUAACAAACAGGGCAACCACAAUGCUCACAUUAGCAGGGAAAAACACAUUUCAUGACUCUGCCUGCAGAGCAGAGCUGCAGGCACCCUUGAGGGCUCCCUGUGCUUGUGCAACUACGAAGUGUAAGUUUAACGGAUCAAGUUUGAAGAAAAGCAGAGGAGUUUUGCCUCUGCAGGAAGCAAAACAGCCUGGAUGUGAAGAGAAACAGCAGCCUUUCUGCCUUGCUAACGUUCCCCAAGGCACAGACGGGUUAACUUCUUGCCCAGGGAAUGAAAAAUAACCCCCUCCUUUCAGCAGCCGGUUAAACGCCGCCUUUCCCAUUAAAUGCCGCCUAAAUGCCGCCUUUCCCACGCAGCUCCAGCAUCCCACACCACAGAGGGACGUGACUCCAUGUUGACAGCUUGCUGCUUUCACAAGCAAUUACUGUGCUGGGGGUUCAAGAGGAACUUGAGAGCACGCUGGCUUAUUUCAGGAAAGACCCAGCAGGAAGCUUCUACUGGGAGCAUUUCUGCAUUGCAGUUGCGCAUAGAAGAGCUACAGUUGUUCCCAGAUGUAAUCCUCGUGGGUCUGAAGAAGGUCUUUGGAGUCUAUGCCCCUUAAAUAAGUAACUAUGAAUGGAUGAAAAAAAUGCUAAUUAAUUAUGCAUUGGUGCUUGAUGGGGCUAUGACUGGCUUUUGAUUGCUUUGACCAAGGGGCUGGCACAGAGUGGGCUCUGGGCAACCUGAUCUAGUUCUUACUGCAGAGGGGGUUGGACUAGACGACCUUUGGUGGUCCUUUCCAACCCAGACCAUUCUAUGAUUCUAUGAAAUGGGGAAAAGUUUUACCUGGCCGUGGCCUGAGAUUGUCCCACAAGUGCGAGGACUGAGGUCAUGGCCUGAAAUUGCUGCUGCUUUGUGUUAAACACCACAGCUGUCAGGGGGGAUUUUGCUUUGCAGUCUGCUCCCAUGGAUGAUAGGAAACAGACAGCCACAAAGCGGCUCAAAAGCUGGCCCACUGGCCCUGGCCCAUUCCCACCGUGACCACCACUGCCCUCUUGGAUGCUCACAGGGCCAACGGGCAAAGCAGCUGCCUCCCUUCUCUCCCCAAGCAGAACUGCUGUGAGACAGCAGGUUUGGUCUUAACCCCACAGCUCCCCACACCCCUCUGCUACACAGACCCACAGACAAACGGAGCUCAUCCCCAGUACCCAAAGGGUUACACCCAAACCUGGUCCAUCCAGGCGGUCUGCUGGAUUGCACAACAACCAGCCGAGCUGUUAUUGCAAGUGGACAUACCAGGAAUAAGUAUAGCCUCUCGGGGAAUAUUUGUUGCACAGAGUUUUCAAUUCUGUUUUCACUGUAAAGGAAGAAAAAUAACUCAUUUCCAGUCUGCUGGGGACAUCCACACGGGUGGGAUCUCGGUGGUGCAGCAGUGGGCUGUGAGUGGUUGGUACAGGCAUGGGAAGGAGCUUCCUUCCAGAAGGAAGGAAAAAAAACCAAACAAAAAAGAGUUUGGAAACUUUGUGGCAUUAAAGUAGUAAAUAGAAGCAGUUUAAAGCCCUGGCUCACACUGCAAGAAGUUGUCAGGAGGUUCUCCCAAAGAGAGAGCAAAGAGUCUACAACUACCUGAAGGGAGGCUGUAGCCAGGUGGGGUUGGUCUCUUCUGCCAGGCAAGCAGCAACAGAAGAAGGGGACAGAGUCUCAAGUUGUGCCAGGGGAGGUCUAGGCUGGAUGUUAGGAGGAAGUCGUUGAGAGAUUGGCAUUGGAAUGGGCUGCCCAGGGAGGUGGUAGAGUUGCCAUCCCUGGAGGUGUCCAAGCAAAGCCUGUAUGGGGCAUUUAGUGCCAUGGUCUGGUUGAUUGGCCAGGGCUGGGUGCUAGGUUGGACUGUCUGAGCUUGGAGGUCUCUUUCCGCCUGGUUGAUUCUAUGAAAGAGGGUUUCUGCUGUAAGAGAUCUGGCAUCCUGGGAGCCCAUCAGCCUCCCUCCUCAGUGCGCUUGGCAUCAUGCAACCAUCGCUGUCAGAAGCCCUGCACCUCCUGGCAUCCUCAGAAACAGCACCUGGGACCAGAGUGUGUAUGGGCACACUGCUCCAUGCUGUCUGUCAAAGGGCAGAAGGCAGGUGAGCAGACCCAAAAUUAAAGUGGGGAGGCCAGACGAUGCCUGAGCCCCAGGAAGUCUGCUGCUGUAAACCUUUCAGCACCCAGAGGAGCGAGCUGGCAUGCUGGAUCAGUCCCAGUCCGCAUGCACUCGGCAGCCACGCCCGGCUGGGCAGGCUUCCCUCCCUGCUGGAGUUACCCGAUGGCACGUGCAGAAGUGCAGCAGGGGCUAGAGCUAGGGAUGCAAACCCAGGCACUGAUGGGGAGAGCAGAGGCAGCAGGUGAAAAGGCACGAUGAGCAAAAGGACAGAAGGCUUUAACCUCUCUGGGAGUAAAAUGAUGCAUAGUCUAGAGCACGAGUCUUGUGAGGAACAGUUCAGGGAACUGGGGUUGUCUGGAGAAAAGGAGGCUGAGGGCAGACCUCAUUGCUCUCUACAGUUCCCCGAAUGGAGGUUGGAAUGAGGUGGGGUCAGUCUCUUCUCCCAAGUAACAAGCAAAAGGACAAGAGAACACACCCUCAAGCUGCACCAGGGGACGUUUAAGUUGGACGUGAGGAAAAAUUUCUUCCCUGAAAGAGUUUUCAAGCCCUGGAACAGGCUGCCCAGGGCAGUGGUGGAGUCCCCACCCCUGGAGCCAUGGAGAUGUGGUGUCGAGGGACAUAGUUUAGUGGUGACCUGGCAGUGCUGGGUUAACGGUUGGGUUCAAUCAUCUUCAAGGUCUUUUCCAACCAAAAGCAUUCUUUGAUUCUACAGUCCAGAUGCCUGCUUAGAGUUCACCCUCUGUCUCAGGGUGUCUGUAAGCACAGCCAGGCUUACAGCAACAGGUACCCUGCAGUGACUGGGCCAAUGUUUUCUUGCACAAUGAAGGCUGAAGCUCACACAGAUGCUGCCUGCCUGGAGCUCCUUGAGACAAGAACUGGGAGCUGGAAGUGGUUGGGACAAGCUCCUUCUUCAACCCAUCAGCUGGUGGUUCACUGAUGGAGAGGUUUGUGCUGGCCUCCCAUCAAUGUGCUCAGCCCUCCACCAGCCACCAUCCUCUGUGAAAAAUUAUGUAGGUGAAGCUGGAGAGAGGGGCUGAAAAUGGGGACUGCAACAAAUCACUCCUUGGCUGGGCAACAGGAGCACUGCUCCUACAGAAAGCACCCUGGAGGCGUGUGGAGCCUCACUGCUGUUAGAGAGAGCAGUGGGCUCCUGAGAAAUCUGCAUAAUGAACCCAGAGCCACUCAAUAAAGGAAACGAUUGCUUUCAGCGUAAGCAGACAACCCUCGGCAGCCACUGGGCUUUAAACAGCCAUUUCAGGCACCUUUUCAAAUGGCACUAAUAAACUUCUGCAGAUGCUGCUUUUAUUAAAGCUGCUUAUUGCUGUUUAAUAAAUGCCACCAGCUUCC